rnacentral:rRNA from 1 species
CGCAAGCCUGACGGAGCAAGACCGCGUGGGGGAGGAAUGCCUUAGGGUUGUAAACCCCUUUUAUCUGGGAAGAACAAAAUGACGGUACCAGAUGAAUAAGCCUCGGCUAACUCCGUGCCAGCAGCCGCGGUAAUACGGAGGAGGCAAGCGUUAUCCGGAAUUAUUGGGCGUAAAGAGUCCGUAGGUGGUGGGGCAAGUCGGCGGUUAAAGACUGGGGCUUAACUCCAGAAAAGCCGUGGAAACUGCACCACUAGAGGGCAGUAGGGGUAGAGGGAAUUCCCGGUGUAGCGGUGAAAUGCGUAGAUUUCGGGAAGAACAUCGGUGGCGAAAGCGCUCUGCUGGGCCGCAACUGACACUCAGGGACGAAAGCUAGGGGAGCG